AUUGAACGCUGGCGGCAUGCUUUACACAUGCAAGUCGGACGGCAGCACAGAGAAGCUUGCUUCUUGGGUGGCGAGUGGCGAACGGGUGAGUAACAUAUCGGAACGUACCGAGCAGUGGGGGAUGACUAAUCGAAAGAUUAGCUAAUACCGCAUAUUUUCUGAGGAAGAAAGCAGGGGACCAUUUGGCCUUGCGCUGUUUGAGCGGCCGAUAUCUGAUUAGCUAGUUGGUGGGGUAAGGGCCUACCAAGGCGACGAUCAGUAGCGGGUCUGAGAGGAUGAUCCGCCACACUGGGACUGAGACACGGCCCAGACUCCUACGGGAGGCAGCAGUGGGGAAUUUUGGACAAUGGGCGCAAGCCUGAUCCAGCCAUGCCGCGUGUCUGAAGAAGGCCUUCGGGUUGUAAAGGACUUUGUCAGGGAAGAAAAGGACAGGGUUAAUACCCCCUGUCUGAUGACGGUACCUAAAGAAUA
rnacentral:rRNA from 1 species